rnacentral:rRNA from 1 species
UCAGUUAUCGUUUAUUUGAUAGUACCUUACUACUUGGAUAACCGUGGUAAUUCUAGAGCUAAUACAUGCUGAAAACCUCGACUUCGGAAGGGGUGUAUUUAUUAGAUAAAAAGCCAAUGCCCUUCGGGGCUUUCUGGUGAUUCAUAAUAACUCAACGAAUCGCAUGGCCUUGCGCCGGCGAUGGUUCAUUCAAAUUUCUGCCCUAUCAACUUUCGAUUGUUGGGUAGUGGCCAACAAUGGUGUUUACGGGUAACGGGGAAUUAGGGUUCUAUUCCGGAGAGGGAGCCUGAGAAACGGCUACCACAUCCAAGGAAGGCAGCAGGCGCGCAAAUUAUCCAAUCCCGACACGGGGAGAUAGUGACAAUAAAUACUGAUCUGGGGGUCUUUAGGCUCUCAGAAUUGGAAUGAGAACAAUUUAAAUCCCUUAACGAGGAACAAUUGGAGGGCAAGUCUGGUGCCAGCAGCCGCGGUAAUUCCAGCUCCAAUAGCGUAUAUUAAAUUUGUUGCAGUUAAAAAGCUCGUCGUUGAAACUUGGAUCUGGUCGGUCGGUCCGCCUUAUCGCGUGCACUGAUUCGACCGGAUCUUUCCUUCUGGGGAAGCGCAUGCCCUUUAUUGGGCGUGUCGGGGAACCAGGACUUUUACUUUGAAAAAAUUAGAGUGUUCAAAGCAGGCCUAUGCUCGAAUACAUUAGCAUGGAAUAAUGGAAUAGGACGUGUGGUUCUAUUUUGUUGGUUUCUAGGACCGCCGUA